GCACUGACACAUCGCUGCCACAUCUGGUGAGCGGGGCGGGUCCGCUUUCCGGGUGACUCACGUCCUCUUUGUAUGCCUUUUGUUUCUAGGACGCUUUGGCGGCCGUUUUCUUCCUUCUGCUUUUAAUUUGGGGAAGGGAAAAGCUCAUGAAUCAAGAGUGAAUCUCUUCUCCACCAAUCUUUUUUCCCCCUUCUUAAAGUUAGCUCUCUCCCUUCACAAGUUCCCUCCCUUCUUUACGCUGCUGCUUCGCGUUGCUCUGUGACGCCUAAAUCUACCCGGUUACUGCCAUAAGUGCCCGAAUCAGGACGAAUUCCACGAGAUUCACCGGCGGUUUUGUUCCUGUCCAAGGUCGCGCCUCGGAUCCUGCGCGAGGCGCCAACAAAAGAGGCGAGGAGGUGCCACCCGGGGGCGGCUACUGGAAGAGGCACGGAGGAAGAGCGCGGCGCUGAGCGUCCCGACCCGCCGUGCGUACUUUCUGGAGGGAAGGGGCGGGGGACUCGGCCCCGGGAGGGGGACGCCCGGCGGCGAGGGGGUUAGCCAAGUUCCUGCGGCAGCGGCGGCAGCGGCGGCAGCGGCGGCGGCAGCGGCCCUCCUCAGCUUCCACAAGACCAAAGUUUUCUCCAGACGCUUCCGGCCGGCCCGCGCCCUCCGGGCCCAACCUCCCGAACCUUCGGAGCGGGCAGCGUCCCAGCCCAGCU
rnacentral:lncRNA from 1 species